rnacentral:sRNA from 1 species
GCUGGGCACUGUGGCGCAUGCCUGUAAUCCCAGCAGCUUGGGAGCCUGAGGCAGGAGGAUUGAGAGUUCAAAGCCAGCCUUAG